AGAGUUUGAUCAUGGCUCAGGAUAAACGCUGGCGGCGCACAUAAGACAUGCAAGUCGAACGGAAGUCGUUGUAAUGAAAUAGAAACGGACAGAGAACUUGUUCGAAGAAAGUGGAAGUAGACUUACAACAAUGGCUUUAGUGGCGGACUGGUGAGUAACGCGUAAGGAACCUGCCUUCUAGAGGGGAAUAACAAUGAGAAAUCAUUGCUAAUACCGCAUAUGCCGAGAGAAUCACAUGGUACAAUCGGGAAAAGAGUAAUCUGCUAGAAGAUGGCCUUGCGUCUGAUUAGAUAGUUGGUGGGGUAACGGCCUACCAAGUCGACGAUCAGUAGCCGGACUGAGAGGUUGAACGGCCACAUUGGGACUGAGAUACGGCCCAGACUCCUACGGGAGGCAGCAGUCGGGAAUAUUGCGCAAUGGAGGAAACUCUGACGCAGUGACGCCGCGUAUAGGAAGAAGGUUUUCGGAUUGUAAACUAUUGUCGUUAGGAAGAGAAAGGACAGUACCUAAGGAGGAAGCUCCGGCUAACUA
rnacentral:rRNA from 1 species